CAGAAAAGAGUUCGUCUAACUGCCAAGGUGUAUCGGAGCGCAUAUACCGAGGGCGGCAUAGUAAAACAACGCUUUCUACCGGGCAAGAUAACGCAGCCAACUGACAGAUGCUACGAACAACGUCAUCACACGCAACCAGUGGAUGACCAUCACAGCGGUGUCUAAACAGAGUGAGGGAAGACGAUAGGAACUUCCUACGUUUUCUAUGGUUCCAAGAUUGUGGAGUAUCGAAUGACGGUCCACGUCUUUGGAAAUAGCCCUUCACCCGCAGUAGCGAUUCAUGGAUUGCACCAGUCUGUUCAGGUCAGUGAACUCCACAUUGACGCUGACGUCCAACGUUUUGUGAUGCGUGACUUCUAUGUAGACGAUGGGUUAAAGUCCCUACCCACAGUCGAAGCUGCAGUCAACUUGCUGAAAAAAACACAGGAUAUUCUCUCCAAAUCCAACCUAAGACUACACAAGAUCGCAGCAAACAACAAGGAGGUCAUGGAGGCCUUUCCGGCUGAAGAUCGUGCAAAAGACCUUAAAGACCUUGACCUCAGUGCAGAUGCGCUGCCGAUGCAGCGUAGUCUAGG
ensembl:lncRNA